rnacentral:sRNA from 1 species
CUGUUCUCAGUUCACUCCCCAUCAAUUCUCUGAGUAGGAACAAUGAAGUUGACCUGCUCUUUCUUUCUGAACUGCAAGUGCUACAUGAUAUUUCAAGCUUGGUAAGUAGGCUGCUCUAAUUUUUUAGUUCCAUUUAUUUUGGUUUCUAGAGAAUCCUUGAAUAAUAGUAAAGGCAGUUGAAAAGUUUGAUUAAGUAUGCCCUAGAUUUAUGAUCCCAUGAAAAUUGAAAAAUUAGUGGCAGUAUUGGGAAUUUUGAACACAUCCAUGUUAUAGUCAAAUUAUUUUGCAUUUCUGCUUUUUAGGGAGAGACAGCAUAUCUUCCAAGAACACAAGCCUGGGCGUAAGAACACCCUGGCCAUAGUCCUAACUUGGCUGUUGAUUUCUUGUGAGACUUAAUUCCUAUCUAUAUCUUUGGGCCUAAAAUAGAAAUAAUAGUUUGGACUAAUAAUGCUGUCAGUCAAGUCAAGAAGGGACGAAAUCCGUCUGAAGGGUAUUUUUUUGGUGAAUGAUUUUUUAAAAAUCAUCCUUGUUACUGAAAUAGAAAUUCUUAUCUGUUUGCUACCUUCUGAAGUUGUUUUCCAAACUUUUUCAACAGGUGUUGGUUCGGGGAGUCUGGAAGUGUAGUGCAUUCCUGGGAUCAAACUGGUCCAGCCAUCUGUUCUUUCAUACGUUGGCCCAUACCUGAGUUUUUAAAACUGAGGAAUUUUGUUGAAAGCUUUUAUUAAAUAUCCAAGGAGUCUUGUACUGCUCCUAAACAUGAGAUUCGUGUUGGAUUUAUCAGAAACGCUUAUUCAAACCAGUUUCUUUUGCCACCAUUUUAGACUAUUUGCAUGUUGUGGUACACUGGUAUGGUUUAGUUUAGCCUAGUUUAGUUAGGCAUAAAACUUUAACUGGCUGUGUUUGACGUCUUUCAUCUUACUUUAUCCGCUACCUUUUUUUGUUUGUUUGUUCUCCUAAGCUGUCUCGUCAUAAGCAUCUAGCCAAGGAUCAUUCUCCUGAUUUAUAUUCACUGGAGCUGGCAGGUUUGGAUGAAAUUGGGAAGCGUUAUGGGGAAGACUCUGAAC